rnacentral:rRNA from 1 species
GACGUAGGGGGCGAGCGUUGUCCGGAUUCAUUGGGCGUAAAGCGCGCGUAGGCGGCUGCGCAAGUCGGUUGUGAAAUUCCGGGGCUCAACCCCGGAACUGCGUCCGAUACUGCGUGGCUAGAGGUAGGUAGGGGAGAUCGGAAUCCUGGUGUAGCGGUGAAAUGCGCAGAUAUCAGGAGGAACACCGGUGGCGAAGGCGGAUCUCUGGGCCUUACCUGACGCUCAGGCGCGAAAGCUAGGGGAGCGAACAGG